GACAGAGGUGCCGAGCGUUAGGCGGAAUCACUGGGCUUAAAGCGUGUGUAGGCGGGCCGUUAAGUAUCUUGUGAAAUCCCCCGGCUCAACCGGGGAAUGGCUGGAUAUACUGGCGGUCUUGAGCGAUCCAGGGGCAGAUGGAACAGACGGUGGAGCGGUGAAAUGCGUAGAUAUCGUCUGGAACGCCAAAGGUGAAGACAGUCUGCUGGGGAUCUGCUGACGCUGAGACACGAAAGCCAGGGGAGCGAACGGG
rnacentral:rRNA from 1 species